UUCAGGCACUUAUUCAAUAGGUUGCACAUUAUUAAAUAAUUUAAUUAGACGAUUAUUGAAAUUUAUGCGAUUAUCAACAUUAUUAUUGUUAGAAAAAUAUCAAUAAUGAUCGCUUAUCAUAGUUGGCGAGUGAGUGUGGCUACAUACGUCGCGAAAGUCGCGACAGAAACGCCAGCACAGUCCUCAUCGUUUAGAUGCAGUUCAGAAAUAGACCACGGAAGCGUCCGACCGACCCGUUUGGUAUUUGUUCAACGUUGACCUAAAACAGUGCUCGCUUUGCUCGUUUGUUAUUCGCGUGGCCGACUAGCCCGUCGUGAAUAUUGUCAGAACUGUAUGUGUGUAGUUGUGUACCUAUAUCACAUCCGCUUACUCUACUCUCAGAUAGUACGCCUUAAUCUUUAAAGUCAUUUCAACGACAUUAAACACAUGAUUGAUUAGUGUCAGUGUCGUUGGUACGAUUAUAAAAAAAUAGUCAAUCAGCCUAUUGAUGAUGUCGUUUUUGCAAGAAUAGCACGAUUUCCAACAAUUGUGGUGUGAUCUCGUCACGCGGCAAAGUGCCAGGGCGGCCAGAGCCGUAUCACACGUGGAACAUGACGGAUGAAUGGGGGUCGUCAGAGUCGUCACGUGCGAACGCGAACCACACACCGCGGCCCAAACGCCAUCUGUACAAUUUACUGGAAUUUAUGAGCUGUGCAAAAGUAUCUGAUAUACUGUUUGUAAAGAUCUCAUAAAAUUAGACAAGUACCUAUUAAUAAUGACAUCAUGGUGUAGUUUGAGAGUAUUCGAGAAUUGGACCUACCUACUUUACUAACCUAUUUAUUUACAUUUUCUAAGUCUGGUCAGUGUUGUUAUAACCCUAUAAUGCAAGUGCAAUCAAAUUCAGACUCAACUAAGCUUUUUUUUUAAAAUAAAUACGUUAUUCUUAGCUGUUGUAUGUACAGUCCUACACACAGAAUAAAACAUAGCAGGAAUUAUAAAAAUUGGAAAUUUCAGCAUUGUUGUUGAACCAACAAUAGUGAUAAAAACUCACAUAAGUUGCGUGGUCUAAUCGCAGUAGGAAGUUAGGCCACCCACCACACCUCGGUAUAAUAGAAGUGAAUAGAAACUCAGUAUUUUCUAAUUACCACCAGAAAUCCUUCGCCCUGGCAAGUGUGUUAGUGUUAAGUAUGCAUAUUUGUAAAGUUUCUAGCAACAAAUAUCUCCAGCUAAAUCAAUUCCACAACAGUUUUAAAGUCUUCUGUGAGAUUGGUGGAGCGACCAUAAAUCAUGAACUUCGCCAUGCCUUAGGUUGUUAAAUACUGCAAAUGCUGAACGGAUUGUUUGGCAAAAGGAUUUUGUUUAUGGACAACACAAAACAGUACUUUCGGACUUGGAAAAUUUAGUUCAUUUUGUUACUGGGUCAUAAAAGCAUGUAUUAAUUAUUUUUACUCAUUCAGUCUGUAUUUAUUUAUCUGAUCUUAUGUAACAGCUAGUGGGCGUACGUGAGGAUUUGAGACAAAACAAUUUACUUGAAUAUUAUGCAUGUUGUUAAAACGUGUUUUAUUUGGCACUUUAUUCCACGGCAGCAGGAGCCAUAUUGUGCUUGAAGAUACAACGUUGCCAACGAAAGUUAUUUCCUACUGUCUCCGUGAGACAAUUUAACAAGUGUUACAGUUAAUUGUGUUGCGAGUUCCGCUCACUUGCCAAUAUCUAUAAAUUGUGAUUAAUCAGCAGACAUGAUAGUGUCGGUGUACUCGCAUUAUACCAGGGUCGCACGUCGUCAAGGUUACAAUUUACGAGGUUGGCUUAAAAGCUCUGUUAUGAUUUUUAUCUUUGCUCUGAGGUUGUUAAAAAUAUUUUAUUGGGAAGCGUAUUUGAAUCUCAUGCAAGAAGGAAAAUUAAUGAUUACUUGGAACAUAAAAAAUAAUGUUCGUACGUAAUGUUGAGGUGGCAGCCCCGAUGCUAAACAUAAACAGCUGUUAUGUUUCAGUUACAAAUAAAAUUGUUAACAUCUUUACGUAGUUGUGGCGGGUUCUCUGAAUUUAGAGAUUCUCACUAUACUGUUUUAAAUCGUAAAACUGCUUGAUUUAUGCCCUUUCAAUACAAACGUAAAUAAGUCACUAUUGUAAAUACUGUUAGUAAGAACAACUGUUUACAGGGACGAGAACUUUUAUCUCCCUUUGUGAUAGUUCAUUCACGUAUUUAUCUCGAGACUAAGUAUGCGAGCACCGCAGUUGAUAGUUCUAUAGUGGGAUUGAUACUUACUCAUUUAUUUAUAAAUAAAAAGAAUGUAGAGCCACUUGUGAACGAACCAAAAUAUUUUCACAUAAUUUAUGUGUAGAGAUUUGCGUCAGUGACUCUUAACGUUUUUAGAAAAUACCUAUACGCGUUUUCUUUCUACAUUUUAUCUACUACAAAUUCUAAACAUGCUAAAAUGAACCUUGCUGAUGUCAUUUUUAUGUUCGGCAAAAAUAAUGUUUAUAUCUUGAAGCAGGCGAUUAUAAGAGACGAGAUAACCAUUAUGCGGAUAGGAGCUCGAGUAAAAAUAGUUGGUACCUACUGGUAGAGCCAAUGAAAAAUUGUCACUUCGUGAAGUUUAUGACUGCAAAGCAAAAAAUUACUAAAUAAAUAGUCCUAAUUAAAAAAAAAACGUAUUGAACACGCAUGAGAGUAUAACAUUAUGAGAGAAGUGUUGUCUAAAUAAAUAUAUUAUUUUAUCCUACAAUACAAAAAUCGGAGACAGAAUAUGCUGUUAGCAGAAAACGCAAUAAGUCAUUCUGUCAUUUUUGUUGUUGUUUACUUUAGUUCGAUAUUACUUAUACCAUGGAUAAAAGAAAGAGACUGGAUUGGCCUUGUGGGCGGGCCACGCGUGCCGAGGGUGCGAGCCGGCGUACUGCGCGCUGUCAUAACGCUCAAAUGUCCAUACUUACCGGCUAGCAAUCGCUGUCAUGUUUUGACAGCGUACGUAUCUCCGCAAAAAUAUUAUAUUAUGCCGUCUUGCGCUAUUAUAACGUGUCGGAAAAGAAACCAGGUGUGUAGCAUAGCACGAGAAGGAAUUUCUUUUCACCGGUUUCCAACAGAUCCAGGUGUAACAAAAUUGUGGAUUGACACAACUGGUAGAAUUAAUUUUUUUUUUCAAGUUCCACCACACAGAUUAGAAACUGCGUAUAUUUUUAUCUCCACCAUAUUUAUACAGACAUUGGUCUUAAAAACUAAGCUUAUAUAAUAAUUAAUAGUAUAAUAAAUUAUGUAGCAAGUUACACGACCAGGUUUAAAACAAUUGAAAUGACAAGUGGUGGGAUUCAGGAACCCAAACUAGGAAAACCUGUACUAUGGGCUCCUGGAUUCCUACUAAAUGUAGCAUAUUUCGUUCGCAACAUUUCGAUGUUGAUAAUUACAUAAUAACAAAGUCAGGGAAAAGAAACUUAAAAUUAGGCGUUUAUCCGCACAAUAUCGCAAUGUGUAAUUCAGUAAGUAAACUGAUUUUAUUUUAGAAAAUUUUAAAUUAGUCCCUUUAAAUCAGUUUUUUUGUCUAAAAAUGGCGAUAUUUAAAAUAUCAUCUUUCGUAAAUUUAAAAAAUGAAAUAAUAUAACCAUGUUAUUUCAAUGUGUUCUGUACUUUAUACAGAUUAUUGUAAAUGUGAGAGCCCUGUAAUUAGCUAAAUUAGACUAGUAGAAUGCAUUUGUGUCAGCUUAGAGUUGUCAUGCUCACUCAAAGGUCUCACUGGCGGUGGCACGGGCAUUGGAUCGUUCGAUUCCCUGCAACAUGGUUGAGUUGGACGGUGCUGGUGUACGUGUCAUGUUGGUGAACGAGCGCUGUCAACUGGGACUGGUCAGCUCCAGACUGUAUUAAUUUUGUUGUUCUUAAGGUUUUUUUCUAUCGCUUUGACUGAAUAUUAGUUUUACAUUGUUCUCACAUAGUUCAAGCAAUCGAUGCAAAGAAAAGCAAUGUUAUCAAGAAUUGUAUUGUGAAUCUAAUUGAAAAAGAUCGAACGAACAGAUCUUCGAUCUUCUCCAUAGGAAUCUACACUUUGGAACGAGCAAAUAGCUUCACUAGAGGGCUGACCGACAGUUAUUAAUAUUAUUAUAUUUGCUUUGACGUUCAAAAGUGCCUAUGAUUUAUUUAUUUUUUACUGAUUUUUAACUUAUUGAGUAAUAAAAUUGGUUUUAAAAUUCA